rnacentral:ncRNA from 1 species
CGGAGAUAAAAACACGGCCCGGUCGGUAGUCCGGGUGUCCCUUUUCGGGAUCAAUAACCUGCCUCCUUGGUUGUCCCUUCUCCGA